GGUCUGCCACGUCGACGGUAGCAAAAUGAGCAAUGACCGACAAUGCAUGAUUGGACCAAUAACAAGUUUUUAUUAACUUUUCGCAUUUUUAUAGGAAUCUGUGGAUGGAUCAAUAUUCCACCACGGUGCCGUUUCCUAUGAUUACAUUA